GAAAUGCGAUAAGUAAUGUGAAUUGCAGAAUUCCGUGAAUCAUCGAAUCUUUGAACGCAACUUGCGCUCCUUGGUAUUCCUUGGAGCAUGCCUGUUUGAGUAUCAUGAAAUCUUCAAAGUAAAUCUUUUGUUAACUCAAUUGGUUUCUACUUUGGUAUUGGAGGUCUUUGCAGCUUCACACCUGCUCCUCUUUGUUCAUUAGCUGGAUCUCAGUGUUAUGCUUGGUUCCACUCGGCGUGAUAAGUUAUCUAUCGCUGAGGACACUGUAAAAGGUGGCCAAGGUAAAUGCAGAUGAACCGCUUCUAAUAGUCCAUUGACUUGGACAAUACUUUUAUGAUCUGAUCUCAAAUCAGGUAGGACUACCCGCUGAACUUAAGC
rnacentral:misc_RNA from 1 species